rnacentral:rRNA from 1 species
AACGUAGGAGACAAACGUUAUCCGGAGUUACUGGGCGUAAAGGGCGUGUAGGUGGUUUCGUAAGUCGGGUGUGAAAUCUCGGGGCUUAACUCCGAAACUGCAUUCGAUACUGCCGUGCUUGAGGACUGGAGAGGAGACUGGAAUUUACGGUGUAGCGGUGAAAUGCGUAGAUAUCGUAAGGAAGACCAGUGGCGAAGGCGGGUCUCUGGACAGUUCCUGACGCUGAGGCACGAAGGUCAGGGGAGCAAACGGG